GGAAAGCGACUGAAGACAGAGUGUUCCAAGAACCAAGAGAAUGAAUGUGGCUGAUGUGUGGAGAGAAGAGAUGGACCAAGAUGAGACUGGAAAGAAGAGCCAAACCUAUAUCAAACCAUCUUUAUGAAGAUUAUCUUAAGCCGGUGCAGCAAAUUGUAUUACAUAUUCUCCACGUUGAUUAAUUCAUUCACUUACGCAUUCACUAGUUUAAUAUUUCUUGAACAUUUACAUGCCCAACAACCUACUCUAAGUUCUGAG
rnacentral:lncRNA from 10 species